GGCCUGGUGGCGCAGUUGGUUGGUGCGUCUGCUCAAAGUAUUUAGGUCUCAGUCGGUCUGCAGAAGGCCCCGGUUCGAAUCCGAGUCAGGUCA